rnacentral:tRNA from 1 species
UUAGCUAUUGGGUUCAUACCCCAAUUAUAAAGGUCUAAUCCUUUUCUUUUUA